rnacentral:rRNA from 1 species
CACGUAGGGGGCAAGCGUUGUCCGGAAUCAUUGGGCGUAAAGCGCGUGUAGGCGGCUCGGUAAGUCCGCUCUGAAAGUCCAGGGCUCAACCCUGGGAUGCGGGUGGAUACUGCCGGGCUCGAGUCCGGAAGAGGCGAGUGGAAUUCCCGGUGUAGCGGUGAAAUGCGCAGGAUAUCGGGAGGAACACCAAUGGCGAAGGCAGCUCGCUGGGACGUGACUGACGCUGAGACGCGAAAGCGUGGGGAGCAAACAGG